rnacentral:rRNA from 1 species
GCCUAUGGCCACACCACCCUGAAAGUGCCCAAUUUCAUCGAUCUUGGAAGCUAUCCGGGGCCAUGCCUGGUUAGUACCUGGAUGGGUGACCGCCUGAGAAUACCCGGUGUUUCAGGCU